CCUACGGGCGGCUGCAGUGGGGAAUCUUGCACAAUGGGCGCAAGCCUGAUGCAGCCAUGCCGCGUGUAUGAAGAAGGCCUUCGGGUUGUAAAGUACUUUCAGUCGUGAGGAAGGUGUUAAGGUUAAUAACCUUAGCAAUUGACGUUAGCGCCAGAAGAACCCCCGCCUACCCCCGUCCCGCCACCGCCGGUAUACGGAGGGUUCGAGGGUUUAUCCGGAAUUACUGGGCGUAAGGGGCACGCAGGCGGUUAUUUAAGUUGGAUGUGAAAUCCCCGGGCUUAACCUGGGAAUGGCAGUCAAGACUGGUUAGCUAGAGUCUUGUAGAGGGGGGUAGAAUUCCGUGUGUAGCGGUGAAAUGCGUAGAGAUGUGGAGGAAUACCGGUGGCGAAGGCGGCCCCCUGGACAAAGACUGACGCUCAUGUGCGAAAGCGUGGGGAGCAAACAGGAUUAGAUACCCUUGUAGUC
rnacentral:rRNA from 1 species